ACCUGGGGAGUACGACCGCAAGGUUGAAACUCAAAGGAAUUGACGGGGGCCCGCACAAGCAGUGGAGUAUGUGGUUUAAUUCGACGCAACGCGAAGAACCUUACCAAGUCUUGACAUCCCUUGACGAACAUAGAAAUAUGUUUUCUCUUCGGAGCAAGGAGACAGGUGGUGCAUGGUUGUCGUCAGCUCGUGUCGUGAGAUGUUGGGUUAAGUCCCGCAACGAGCGCAACCCUUAUGGUCAGUUACUACGCAAGAGGACUCUGGCCAG
rnacentral:rRNA from 1 species